GACGAACGCUGGCGGCGUGCUUAACACAUGCAAGUCGAACGGAAAGGCCCUGCUUUUGUGGGGUGCUCGAGUGGCGAACGGGUGAGUAACACGUGAGUAACCUGCCCUUGACUUUGGGAUAACUUCAGGAAACUGGGGCUAAUACCGGAUAGGAGCUCCUGCUGCAUGGUGGGGGUUGGAAAGUUUCGGCGGUUGGGGAUGGACUCGCGGCUUAUCAGCUUGUUGGUGGGGUAGUGUCUUACCAAGGCUUUGACGGGUAGCCGGCCUGAGAGGGUGACCGGCCACAUUGGGACUGAGAUACGGCCCAGACUCCUACGGGAGGCAGCAGUGGGAAAUAUUGCACAAUGGGCGGAAGCCUGAUGCAGCAACGCCGCGUGCGGGAUGACGGCCUUCGGGUUGUAAACCGCUUUCGCCUGUGACGAAGCGUGAGUGACGGUAAUGGGUAAAGAAGCACCGGCUAACUACGUG
rnacentral:rRNA from 1 species